AUACGAAGGGUGCAAGCGUUAAUCGGAAUUACUGGGCGUAAAGCGUGCGCAGGCGGUUUUGUAAGACAGUGGUGAAAUCCCCGGGCUCAACCUGGGAACUGCCAUUGUGACUGCAAGGCUGGAGUGCGGCAGAGGGGGAUGGAAUUCCGCGUGUAGCAGUGAAAUGCGUAGAUAUGCGGAGGAACACCGAUGGCGAAGGCAAUCCCCUGGGCCUGCACUGACGCUCAUGCACGAAAGCGUGGGGAGCAAACAGGAUUAGAUACCCUGGUAGUCCACGCCCUAAACGAUGUCAACUGGUUGUUGGGUCUUCAUUGACUCAGUAACGAAGCUAACGCGUGAAGUUGACCGCCUGGGGAGUACGGCCGCAAGGUUGAAACUUAAAGGAAUUGACGGG
rnacentral:rRNA from 1 species